rnacentral:rRNA from 1 species
UACGUAGGGGGCAAGCGUUAUCCGGAAUCAUUGGGCGUAAAGCGCGUGUAGGCGGUUCCGUAAGUCCGCUCUGAAAGCCCAGGGCUCAACCCUGGGAGGCGGGUGGAUACUACGGAACUGGAGUACGGAAGAGGAGAUUGGAAUUCCUGGUGUAGCGGUGAAAUGCGCAGAUAUCAGGAGGAACACCGAUGGCGAAGGCAGAUCUCUGGGCCGUUACUGACGCUGAGGAGCGAAAGCGUGGGGAGCGAACAGG